CAUUUUCAGUAAAGAAGUCCUGAGUAAACACGUUGUCGUUGAAUACCGCUUCUCUGCCGAACCUUAUAUUAGUGCCUCAUGCAGUAAUGUCUCAGUUUUAUCUCAGUUAAUGCCUGCGGGCUAAGAAAACACUCUAAGGAAUUUUGCAAAAUGGCAAAGAUUAAAGGUCAAGUUAAGUGGUUCAACGAGUCUAAAGGUUUUGGUUUCAUUACUCCUGCUGAUGGCAGCAAAGACGUGUUCGUACACUUCUCUGCAAUCCAGGGUAACGGCUUCAAAACUCUGGCCGAAGGCCAGAACGUUGAGUUCGAAAUUCAGGACGGCCAGAAAGGCCCAGCUGCAGUUAACGUAACUGCUA
rnacentral:sRNA from 1 species